rnacentral:sRNA from 16 species
UUUAUUCAUUUACCAAUCAUUAAUCUUUCCAAAUUAUAAAUUUAUGCAUCCAGUCAUCUGGAUAGGAGUGGUUCAGACCACUCUGUUUGACGCCUCCCUGUUAAAGACUUAGAGCCGCAGCCGUGCGGCUCUUUUUUU